GACCACUGUUGUUCAGACUCAUAUAGCUCAGCGAGUUUCUCUCUAAUUAUUAAAACCUGUUCUUCAAAAGAAACAACCCGAGGCUGAAUCUGAGCAAGAGUAUAAUGGGCAAUCUCCUUUUGCGUCUCUGGCUCCAAUCUCCCCAGUUCCUGAGCAAAAGUCUGUAAUAGCUGCCUCGAAACCACCAAUGGCACAUCGUCCGAC
rnacentral:misc_RNA from 1 species